GCAGUUGGGAGUAAAGAUGUCUGACUCCAGAAACUUCUUGAGGCUUGCUGUAGGCCCCUGCGCACUCUUCUCUUCUUUACCCAGGGACCCCAACAAGAAGGAUGAAAUAUGCCCAUCUUCCUGUAAAAAGCCUACAUGCUUCCACUCCAGGAAAGCAAGGAAAGCAACUGAGUUGAAGCUACAAAACCACAGCUGCAGUACUUUUGAAAUUACUUAUCUGAGAGGUAUGUAUUUUCUUCACAGUAGUCUUUCUGUCUGCUGGCUUUCAGGGACAAAUGGCAUAUGAAUAUAUAUAUUCUUUAAAGGCACCUUGUCACAAUAUAGUAUUGGUCUCCAGAUCAGUAAUAUGUUAAUAAAUUUACAGUAUUAAAAGACAGGUGUUUGGAGUUUGGACAGAAAGCCCAAAAUAAAAAUAGCAGCAGUAACAACAAUAUCAAAACAUUUUAAUUUAAAAAUUCACAUUUUUUUAAAACC